UACGUUGGGGGCUAGCGUUGUCCGGAAUCAUUGAGCGUAAAGCGCGUGUAGGCGGUCCGGUAAGUCCGCUGUGAAAGUCGGGGGCUCAACCCUCGGAUGCCGGUGGAUACUGUCGGGCUUGAGUACGGAAGAGGCGAGUGGAAUUCCUGGUGUAGCGGUGAAAUGCGCAGAUAUCAGGAGGAACACCAAUUGCGAAGGCAGCUCGCUGGGACGUUACUGACGCUGAGGAGCGAAAGCAUGGGUAGCGAACAGG
rnacentral:rRNA from 1 species